GAGUGCACUACGCCAUCAUUCAUGCACCUAUGGUGGUCCUUUGCAAAGACCUCCUCUAGUUUGGAGGCCAUGGCAUCUUUCAAACCACAAACCAUGAUGAUGGGACGGAACCCAAGUGGGGUUUUCAGUUCAUCGUACACUCAAAAUCAUUGUACAAUUAGCAGGAGAAUGUCCAAACCCCAUGAACACGCAUCAUGAGUUAUUCCUUGCAUCCAGCUGGUUUUCUUCAAUGCAUAGGGAAUGCUCGCGAAACCCUUUUUAGGCAAGAAAUAUAGGUGACAACUGAAGGAAGAAGAGUAUGUAAUAAUAUACAUGAUCAAAUAGAGGGAGGAACCAUGGAUGUGAUUUCUUAAUUUUACUGUUUCAAAGCACCAUCCCAAACAACAUACAAUGAUGCUGGGUUCUUGCAAGACUUGAAGCUAAUCGAGCACAGCUAAAUUCUAUAUGAUCCUCUCUGAUGCUAAAUCAAGCAACGUACGAAAGAAUUUGUGAGGAUACAUGGGAGGUUGUUCUGCUAGCGCCUGAGAAACACAGCAAAUUCUAGCUCAUUAGGACACAAGUAACUAGUUACUUAUGAAAUGAAUUAAUAUAGCUUGCUUGAUUGUAUGUAAUGAAACAUAUAAUGUAAUGGAUCGUUAUAAUCCUACGUUCGGUUGUAUAAUUUUCAAGAUUUUAAUGUUAUGGAUCAUUACAAUUAUAA